GUGGGGAAUAUUGGACAAUGGGCGCAAGCCUGAUCCAGCAAUGCCGCGUGGGUGAAGAAGGUCUUCGGAUCGUAAAGCCCUUUCGACAGGGACGAUGAUGACGGUACCUGUAGAAGAAGCCCCGGCUAACUUCGUGCCAGCAGCCGCGGUAAUACGAAGGGGGCUAGCGUUACUCGGAAUUACUGGGCGUAAAGGGCGCGUAGGCGGCUCUGUUAGUCAGGCGUGAAAUUCCUGGGCUUAACCUGGGGACUGCGCUUGAUACUGCAGGGCUUGAGGCCGAGAGAGGGUGGUGGAAUUCCCAGUGUAGAGGUGAAAUUCGUAGAUAUUGGGAAGAACACCGGUGGCGAAGGCGACCACCUUGCUCGGUUCUGACGCUGAGGCGCGACAGCGUGGGGAGCAAACAGGAUUAGAUACCCCGGAGUCC
rnacentral:rRNA from 1 species